rnacentral:rRNA from 2 species
UGCCCCAGUAACGGCGAGUGAAGCGGCAACAGCUCAAAUUUGAAAUCUGGUCCCUAGGGCCCGAGUUGUAAUUUGUAGAGGAUGCUUUUGGUGAGGUGCCGCCCGAGUUCCCUGGAACGGGACGCCACAGAGGGUGAGAGCCCCGUCUGGCUGGCCGCCGAGCCUCUGUAAAGCUCCUUCGACGAGUCGAGUAGUUUGGGAAUGCUGCUCAAAAUGGGAGGUAUAUGUCUUCUAAAGCUAAAUAUUGGCCAGAGACCGAUAGCGCACAAGUAGAGUGAUCGAAAGAUGAAAAGCACCUUGAAAAGAGGGUUAAAUAGUACGUGAAAUUGUUGAAAGGGAAGCGCUUGUGACCAGACUUGGGCGCGGCGGAUCAUCCGGGGUUCUCUCCGGUGCACUUCGCCGCGUCUGGGCCAGCAUCAGUUCGUCGCGGGGGAAAAAGGCUUCGGGAACGUGGCUCCUCCGGGAGUGUUAUAGCCCGUUGCAUAAUACCCUGCGGUGGACUGAGGACCGCGCAUCUGCAAGGAUGCUGGCGUAAUGGUCACCAGCGACCCGUCUUGAAACACGGACCAAGGAGUCGUCUUCGUAUGCGAGUGUUCGGGUGUCAAACCCCUACGCGUAAUGAAAGUGAACGCAGGUGAGAGCUUCGGCGCAUCAUCGACCGAUCCUGAUGUUCUCGGAUGGAUUUGAGUAAGAGCAUACGGGGCCGGACCCGAAAGAAGGUGAACUAUGCCUGUAUAGGGUGAAGCCAGAGGAAACUCUGGUGGAGGCUCGCAGCGGUUCUGACGUGCAAAUCGAUCGUCAAAUAUGGGCAUGGGGGCGAAAGACUAAUCGAACCUUCUAGUAGCUGGUUUCCGCCGAAGUUUCCCUCAGGAUAGCAGUGUUGAGCUCAGUUUUAUGAGGUAAAGCGAAUGAUUAGGGACCCGGGGGCGCUAUAUUGCCUUCAUCCAUUCUCAAACUUUAAAUAUGUAAGAAGCCCUUGUUACUUAGUUGAACGUGGGCAUUCGAAUGUAUCAACACUAGUGGGCCAUUUUUGGUAAGCAGAACUGGCGAUGCGGGAUGAACCGAACGCGAGGUUAAGGUGCCAGAGUAGACGCUCAUCAGACACCACAAAAGGCGUUAGUACAUCUUGACAGCAGGACGGUGGCCAUGGAAGUCGGAAUCCGCUAAGGACUGUGUAACAACUCACCUGCCGAAUGUACUAGCCCUGAAAAUGGAUGGCGCUCAAGCGUCUCACCCAUACCUCGCCCUCGGGGUAGAAACGAUGCCCCGA